CUAGCUGCUACACAUCGGGAAACACAAGGGGGUUGGAGAUAUUGAUUCAGCGCCUACUUGCUACUUGUUUAUGUAUAGUGAGGUGUCACAUUUAUAGCAUCUAACUCAGUCACUAACGAAGAACAAGAUGAACAAAUAUAGGAAGCAGAUAGCAGAGCAGUUCCUGAGUCAGGCCCUGGGCAUUAUCUGCCUGCUGACCGGAGAGGAAUAUGUUGUUGUGAAGAAGAGGCCCUCACACAGCAGCAUUAAUCAGCUGAAAGGAGAGGUGAG